UACGUAGGGGCUAGCGUUAUCCGGAAUUACUGGGCGUAAAGGGUGCGUAGGUGGUUUCUUAAGUCAGAGGUGAAAGGCUACGGCUCAACCGUAGUAAGCCUUUGAAACUGGGAAACUUGAGUGCAGGAGAGGAGAGUGGAAUUCCUAGUGUAGCGGUGAAAUGCGUAGAUAUUAGGAGGAACACCUGUUGCGAAGGCGGCUCUCUGGGCAGUUACUGACGCUGAGGAGCGAAAGCAUGGGUAGCGAACAGGAUUAGAUACCCUGGUAGUCCCUGA
rnacentral:rRNA from 1 species